GACGAACGCUGGCGGCGUGCCUAAUACAUGCAAGUAGAACGCUGAGGGAGGAGCUUGCUUCUCUGGAUGAGUUGCGAACGGGUGAGUAACGCGUAGGUAACCUGCCUGGUAGCGGGGGAUAACUCUUGGAAACGAUAGCUAAUACCGCAUAAGAGUAGAUGUUGCAUGACAUUUGCUUAAAAGGUGCAAUUGCAUCACUACCAGAUGGACCUGCGUUGUAUUAGCUAGUUGGUGGGGUAACGGCUCACCAAGGCGACGAUACAUAGCCGGCCUGAGAGGGUGAACCGCCACAAUGGGAACGGGACACGGCCCAGAACCCUUCCGGAAGCAGCAGGAGGGAAACUUCGGCAAUGGACGGAAGGCCGAACGAGCAAAGCCGGGUGAGGGAAGAAGGGUUUCCGGUCGUAAAGCUCCGGUGUAAGGGAAGAAAGAGAUGGGUAGUGGAAAGUGCACACUGUGACGGUAUCUAACCAGAAAGAGACGGCUAACUACGUG
rnacentral:rRNA from 1 species